rnacentral:rRNA from 1 species
AGGGGGCGGUGAAACCCCAUCAUGUAUGAGUGAGAUUGCACGUCGAGCGGAGGACGGGGGCUUGCUCUAAUAGGUCAGCGGCGGACGGGUGAGUAACACGUGGGUAACCUGCCUGUAAGACUGGGAUAACUCCGGGAAACCGGGGCUAAUACCGGAUGCUUGAUUGAACCGCAUGGUUCAAUCAUAAAAGGUGGCUUUUAGCUACCACUUACAGAUGGACCCGCGGCGCAUUAGCUAGUUGGUGAGGUAACGGCUCACCAAGGCGACGAUGCGUACCCGACCUGAGAGGGUGAUCGGCCACACUGGGACUGAGACACGGCCCACACUCCUACGGGAGGCAGCAGUAGGGAAUCUUCCGCAAUGGACGAAAGUCUGACGGAACAACGCCGCGUGAGUGAUGAAGGUUUUCGGAUCGUAAAACUCUGUUGUUAGGGAAGAACAAGUACCGUUCGAAUAGGGCGGUACCUUGACGGUACCUAACCAAAAAGCCACGGCUAACUACGUGCCAGCAGCCGCGGUAAUACGUAGGUGGCAAGCGUUGUCCGGAAUUAUUGGGCGUAAAGCGCGCGCAGGCGGUUUCUUAAGUCUGAUGUGAAAGCCCCCGGCUCAACCGGGGAGGGUCAUUGGAAACUGGGGAACUUGAGUGCAGAAGAAGAGAGUGGAAUUCCACGUGUAGCGGUGAAAUGCGUAGAGAUGUGGAAGAACACCAGUGGCGAAGGCGACUCUCUGGUCUGUAACUGACGCUGAGGCGCGAAAGCGUGGGGAGCGAACAGGAAUAUAUACCCUGGUACUCCACGCCGUAAACGAUGAGUGCUAAGUGUUAGAGGGGUUUCCGCCCUUUAGUGCUGCAGCAAACGCAUUAAUCACUCCGCCUGGGGAGUACGGUCGCCAGACUGAAACUCAAAAGGAAUUGACGGGGGCCCCGCACAGCGGUGGAACCUGUUGUUUAAUUCGAAGCACGCAGAAAACCUUACCAGGUCUUGAUCAUUCCUCUGACAACCCUAGAGAUAAGGCCUUCCCUCUUCGGGGGAGAAAGUGAACAGGUGCUGCAUGGUUGUCCAUCACCUCCGUGUCGAUGAAGAUGUUGGGUUAUAACUCCCGCAAACUAGCGCCAACUCUUGAAUCUUUAGUUGCCACUCAUUCUCGU